rnacentral:rRNA from 1 species
AAACCAGCACCUCAAGUGGUCAGGAGGAUUAUUGGGCCUAAAGCAUCCGUAGCCUGCUCUGUAAGUUUCCGGUUAAAUCCAUUAGCUCAACUAAUGGCCUGCCGGAAAUACUGUAGAGCUAGGAAGUGGGAGAGGUAGACGGUACUCGGUAGGAAGGGGUAAAAUCCUUUGAUCUAUUGAUGACCACCUGUGGCGAAGGCGGUCUACCAGAACACGUUCGACGGUGAGGGAUGAAAGCUGGGGGAGCAAACCGGAUUAGAAACCCUAGUAGUCC